UUCAGAAGGUUAGCAUUAGCACGGCUAACUGGCUACAUAUUGAGGUUAGCCGACGCUGCAGUUACCGGUUCAUUCAGAAGGUUAGCAUUAGCACGGCUAACUGGCUACAUAUUGAGGUUAGCCGACGCUGCAGUUACCGGUUCAUUCAGAAGGUUAGCAUUAGCACGGCUAACUGGCUACAUAUUGAGGUUAGCCGACGCUGACCGGUUCAUUCAGAAGUUUAGCAUUAGCACGGCUAACUGGCUACAUAUUGAGGUUAGCCGACGCUGCAGUUACCGGUUCAUUCAGAAGGUUAGCAUUAGCACGGCUAACUGGCUACAUAUUGAGGUUAGCCGACGCUGACCGGUUCAUUCAGAAGUUUAGCAUUAGCACGGCUAACUGGCUACAUAUUGAGGUUAGCCGACGCUGACCGGUUCAUUCAGAAGGUUAGCAUUAGCAUAUAUAUAAUAUUGCUAGAAAUAGUGAUGGAACAGAUUUUUAGAAAAAUGAAUCGUAAAGAAUUGCUUGGUGAGUUACUGGUUGGUAACUGUCCAGUGUGUAACCUGUAUAGUGUAAUAUAUAUAUAUAGUAUGUUGUCUC